GCGUUUGAAAUCUCCUGAUGGAAAAUGAAUAUACAAAUUAGCAUUAAAUGGCAAAACUAUUUUUCGAAUUACAGAUAAAAACUUUAAGACAAAGAUUUAGAAAGGGGCAAAAUAAGAAAAAUAGAUGUGACACAUCGAUAUUGUAGCUGCAAUUUUAUCCUUCAUAAAAUAUGUAAAUGACUGGCACAGAAGAAAAUGAUAGGUUCUCACAAUGUCAUAUCGCAGGUUGAACUUGGAAGUGAUGGUGUUAAAAGCAUUUCAAUCAUCGUUUUACUCUUAUGAAGAAAUAUAAGAGCUAACUAAGAAAAUCACAGUUAUUGAAAACUGAAAACCACUAAUUUUUUAUGGUAAUACAAGCAUUUAAAGUGAGAAGAAAGAAAAAAACACGGAGUAUCUCAAGUUUCAUUUGGUACUAUAAUAAUUAGUAAACAAUAUUCUAGAGAAGCUGCAGGCUCCAUAAGGUACAAUCAGGGUUCUUUGAAGCAACCAUUCACGAUGCAUCUAGAACAUAAUUCAGCAUCUCUUCAAUUAUUUGAUCUUCAACUGUGUACACAUUUCUAAUAUCAAAAAGAUGAUUAUACACUCAUUGGCAUAGGUUCUCCAUCAAAAACAUCCACAUUUGAUGUAAGAGUUAUGAGAACUACACGGAAAAAAAAUGUUCAGCUGAAGCAACGAUAUAUAUUUCAUCUGCAUACAAAUUUUCUUUAUCAUCUCAACUCUACAUAUGAAGGAAUAAGUUCGAAUAGAAUAGGAUCGGAUGGGGUAGGAUCGGAUUAAUAAUUUAUCAAAUAAUUUAGUCCUUUAAAAUUGUAUAACUUUAAUUUGCACAAGUGUGAAGUCACAUGUUGCCCAGCAUUCGCUUUUUUUUCCGGAUCAACAAAUGCGCAAACAACUUGUUUGCCUUGGCUCAGAGUUUUCUCUGCAAUCUUUCCUAAGCUGAAUAUCUGAUCCGCUCAUG